CCCUUAGAUGUCCUGGGCCGCACGCGCGUUACACUGAAGGAAUCAGCACGUCUUUCUCCUUGUCCGAAAGGACUGGGUAACCCGCUGAACCUCCUUCGUGCUAGGGAUUGGGGCUUGUAAUUCUUCCCCAUGAACGAGGAAUUCCCAGUAAGCGCGAGUCAUAAGCUCGCGUUGAUUACGUCCCUGCCCUUUGUACACACCGCCCGUCGCUACUACCGAUUGGAUGGUUUAGUGAGAUCCUCGGAUUGGUCCCGGAGCGGCCUCUGGUCGUGCCGGAGUGCCGAAAAGAAUGUCGAACUUGAUCAUCUAGAGGAAGUAAAAGUCGUAACA
rnacentral:rRNA from 1 species